CGGAACUGCUGAGCGGCGGCGGGACCUCGUCUCCGUCUCGUCCCGGGAACCCCCGGCCCCGAGCCCCCACAGUCCGGUUUCUACCCGGAGCCGGAGUGGAGGCUGUCGGGGCCGCGCGGCCGCGGUGAGGGGCAAAGGUAAUUCGUUUGACAUAGAAGUCUUCUUUGAAAAACUUUGUGUAUUAUUGAAGGAUGGCAGAAGCAGUUUUGCUUGAUCUCUUUGGUUUGAAGUUAACCUGUCAGGAAAACUUCUAUGAGACAUUAUUGAAGACAUUGAAUGCCAUCCAAUACCACCUUGCUGCCAAGGCCAGAUUUCUUUGCAUAAUGGAUUGCAGUAAAAUGAGCUGUGAAAGGGAUGGUGAACAUGAUAAUUGUGAACUGGAAACAAGCAAUGGAUUGUUAACUCUUAUGAGAGAAUUUGAGAUUGUUAGAAAUCCCAGCAUGGCUGCCUCUUUGUAUACCAUUAAACAAAAAAUAGAUGAAAAAAAUCUGAACAGCAUUAAGGUAAUUGUACCUGCACACAGGAAAACCUUAAUGAAGGCUUUUAUUGAUUGUCUCUUCACUGAGGUUUACAAUUUUGAGUUUGAAGAUUUACAGGUGACUUUGAGGGAUGGCCUUUUGAAACAGUCCACUGAGAUAAACACAAUCACAGCUCAUAAACUAGAAGAAAUCCAGAGUGAAAUAGAAACAUAUUUGAGAAGUCUGCCAGCACUGAAAGGAGAAUUAACUAUUAUCACAUCUCCUUUGAUUCCAGAUAUUUUCAUACAUGGAUUUACUACAAGAACAGGUGGGAUAUCUUAUAUACCAACUCUUAGUUCCUUCAAUCUCUUCAGUAGUUCCAAACGAAGAGAUCCUAAGGUGGUUGUUCAAGAAAAUCUACGUAGGUUGGCAAAUACUGCAGGAUUUAAUGUGGAAAAAUUUUAUCAAAUAAAGACUGAUCAUGCCAAUGAAGUCUGGAUUAUGGGAAGGAAGGAGCCUGAAUCUUUUGAUGGAAUAACUUCGAAUCAGAGAGGAGUCACAAUAGCAGCUCCUGGUGCUGACUGCAUACCUAUAGUUUUCGCAGAUCCUGUCAAAAAAGCAUGUGGGGUUGCUCACUCUGGCUGGAAAGGUACUUUAUUAGGAGUUGCUAUGGCUACAGUGAAUGCUAUGAUAGCAGAAUAUGGCUGUAGCUUAGAAGACAUUAUUGUUGUACUGGGACCUUCAGUAGGACCUUGCUGUUUUACUCUUCCCAGGGAAUCAGCAAAUGCAUUUCAUAAUCUUCAUCCUGAAUGCGUACGACUUUUUAACUCACCCAGACCCCAUAUUGACAUCCGUAAAGCCACCAGGAUUCUUCUAGAACAAGGAGGAAUUCUUCCACAGAAUAUUCAUGACCUGAACCAGGAUCUCAACCUUUGUACAUCUUGCCAUCCUGACAAGUUUUUCUCCCAUGUCCGAGAUGGCCUUAAUUUUGGCACACAGAUUGGCUUCAUAUCAAUUAGAGAAUGAGACAUUUGACUGGAUUUUUGAAUAACUUCCUGUGUCCUUCCAAACUGAAUGCAAGAGAAAAACUACUAUUUGAUUUAUGUAAAACCAAGAGGAUUACAAUGGAUAAUUCAUCUUUAGGGAACAUGUGGUUUAUCUUUUAAACCUCCAGCAAUUUACAAAAAAGAAAAAAAGUACUAGUUGUGACUUUUUUACAUAGUGCGGAAAAUGUACCUGAAGGAAAUGCUCAUCAUCUUUAGAAGAAUUUGUGUAAAAAGGAGGAGAAGAAGGUUUUUUCUGGGGCAUUGCCAGUCCCCUACAACUCUGCGGAUAUGGUUCUCUGUGAUUUCAUCAUGCAUAUAGGUUGAUGUGACCAUCACCACCACAGCCAGGAGACAUACUUGCAUCCUAAGUAUCACUGAAAUCACUUCCAUGACACCAGCACCAGCUAUUUAGAACUUAAGAGUAUUUCUUUAAUUUUUUUUUUCAGCCCAUUAUAAAAAGUCCUGACUUGAUGCUUAGUUGUAUGAAGAUGUUCUUAUUUACAGUUGGAAGUUGUACAUUGAAUAACUUAUUUAUAUUGCCAUUCUUAUGUACAUUUAAAGAAUGUUGCCCUAGGAGUUCAUUUGACAAAUGUUAAACUGCCUCCUGAGCCUUGUGCAAUGUAUCAACAGAGAUGAUCCUCUACGUAGAGCAGAGCUACAUUUCGGGGAAUUCCUCUGUAACUUGAAAACAUGUUAAAUUGAAAAUGCAUGUACCACACCUAAUGUUCUGCAGUGUGCAGAUGGGGCUGAUAGACAGCUGCCACUCACUGGUGCUGCCCUGUCAAGGGGGUGCUGUAUUGCAUAUUGCUAGCCCAGGAACAAGUGAAAAUUCAAAUCUAAUGUAUGAGUUCUACUGAAUGUCUUUUACUUUUGUACUACCAUAAAAUUUAAAAUCUUUUUUUUAAAGAAAAGCAUUAUUAGUUAUUGUGAUAAUUAAAUUCAAGCACUUAUAUAUUCUCUGGCUGACUGAGAGAGUUAUCAACAAAUUGGAAUUUCCAAAGUAGAAUUAUAAACAAAUUGAAAUUUCCAAAAUCACAUGGUGAAAGUUAAUGUGUAUUGGCUAAAUAUUCCUAAUCCCAUCCUUCAGUUUUCCUUCAGUGAAAGUUUUAUCCUAUUCAUCAAAUAUUAUCUUUAUAAUGAAGUUAUUAUUUUAAUAUCAUUUUUGUGAUGCAUUUCUGUACAGGCAAAAAUAAUAGUUUAUUCUUAAUGGGUCAAAGAAAAAAUAGACAGGGUAAAGGAACUUGAAUACUCAGCAUGUAAUAAAGGGGGAAAAUAAAACACCAUAUUCAGAAUGCACAAGAACUCUGGGACAGGAUUAAAAGAGCAUACCUGAGUGUCAUUGGGAUAGAAAAGAAUGUGGAAAUACAGGCUGACAGCA